UACCAGCACCCCGAGUGGUCGGGACGAUUAUUGGGCCUAAAGCAUCCGUAGCCGGUUUUACAAGUCCUCCGUUAAAUCCAACUGCUUAACAGAUGGGCCGCGGAGGAUACUACAAGACUAGGAGGCAGGAGAGGCAAGCGGUACUCAGUGGGUAGGGGUAAAAUCCGUUGAUCCAUUGAAGACCACCAGUGGCGAAGGCGGCUUGCCAGAAUGCGCUCGACGGUGAGGGAUGAAAGCGUGGGUAGCAAACAGG
rnacentral:rRNA from 1 species